GGGGGUGACUUGGCUUCGACGUGGGUUGCAAAGCAGAGCAGGGCAUACCGAGGACCAGAUACCUCGUAAAUCCUCUGGAACCAAGAUAGUCGCAAACGACGAAACUUACGCUCUGGCCGCUUAAUCCGGCUGGACGCUGCACCGAAGAGCCUCUCGGUCGGGUGGGGUAAAACCCGCAGCAGCGUCAUUUAGAGAGGAUCGUGUCGUGUCGGGUUACUUGGCACGGCAUUAAAUCAAGGUAACUCGCCUUGCUUCAGCCUGUCGGUCGGCGGUUGCAAGGUUAAAUCAAUCGACCUGGCUAAGUAUGUAGAACUGCCUGUAGAGGGCUUGCGGACGGGGGUUCAAUUCCCCCCACCUCCACCA
rnacentral:tmRNA from 1 species